AUUGAACGCUGGCGGCAGGCCUAACACAUGCAAGUCGAGCGCGGCGCGGACGUGUGUGAAAUGUGGGGGACUCCCCCCGAUAGAGGGGGAACACUACUGGAAACGGUGGAUAAUACCGCAUACUAUGGGAUGAGCACAUAUGGGAUUCGCUAGUGGGUGGGGUAAAGGCUCACCUAGGCGACGAUCUCUAGCGGGUCUGAGAGGAUGACCAGCCACACUGGAACUGAGACACGGUCCAGACUCCUACGGGAGGCAGCAGUGGGGAAUAUUGCACAAUGGGCGAAAGCCUGAUGCAGCCAUGCCGCGUGUGUGAAGAAGGCCUUCGGGUUGUAAAGCACUUUCAGCGGGGAGGCGUUACCCGCAGAAGAAGCACCGGCUAACUCCGUGCCAGCAGCCGCGGUAAUAC
rnacentral:rRNA from 1 species